UGGGGCUGGGGUCUGUCUUUGCAGAGGUGCCAGGCCACAUGCCCUGCCCACCUCUACCAGCUAUGCCGCCUCUGAAGUUCCUCCAGCGGCACUGAGGAGGGGCCCUGUGGUCGAGGGUGCAGUUAAACGAGGCCCGACCGGGUAGUUGAGCUCAGCUUGGCUGUACUUGUCUUCCUUGGACCUGCUGGGCACCCCCAGGCCUCUCUUUCCAGAGCCACAGGGGCCACCUGACAUCUCACAGGCUCAUCUACCUUCCAAGACCAGCUCAUCACUUCUGGCACCCCUCUCUAUAGUUGCCUCCCAAAGUCUCCCAUCUUAUACCCACGGCCCCCUGGGCAUCAAGCUGGACAUCUGGGAACAACCUUCAGCACCAAGUCCCCCCACCACUCAUCUGGACUUGCAAAAGUCUCCUUACUGGUCGAACUGCUCCGGUGAAAUGGGCCAUGGUCUCGGAGUCGUCUAUGCACCACCCCCCACGACCCAGCUGGUCAGAGCUGUGCCCCCGCCUCCCCGACCACACAGUCAGCCCAUCCACAGGCUCCGUCCAAGUCCUCCUGCCUAUCCAGCCCUGCACAAAGGAGCGGGGCAGGAGCAGGGUGUUCUUUGAUUCCACAGACCUCCAGCGACAUCUCCUCUGUGCCAGGACCUCAGCUGGCCACAGGGGAACCAAGUCAGCAUGCCCUAGCACUGCCUAUGGCUCUGCCAGCCUGGACACUGUCAUCCCACAUCCGGGUUUGCAUUCUGACUCGGCCACUCUCAAGGCCAUUUGGCCCCAGCAAAUGCCUGGACCUAGGCCCCAGGUGCAGAGAGAACAGGGCUACGGGAGGAGCAGAGGAAGUAAGGUGUUUCUCACUGCAAAGCCCUCAACAAAUCUUAGAUAAUAAGCAGGUGGCAAGGCUACAAAUGCUUGGGGCUCAGCGAGCAGUUCACUCUGGAAGGGGUGAAGAGCUUCACAAACCAUGAUGUGGAGAACAAGAGCCUGCAGCCCCUGGAGACCAGGACCUCGAGGGAACUUGUCUACACCUCAUGAAAACCUCUCCACGGUGACGAUGUGAAGCACCUGGAGCUCACACAAUGCUGGGAUGCAAUACAGCAAUGAGAGUGGCCAGCCACUGCUACUACAUGCAGCCCCAUGGAGGACUCUCACAGAUACAACUCUGAACGAAAGAGGCCAGGCGUGAACAGCACAGGUGGAACUGAGGAGUCCCAACCCAGGGCAGGAAGGGCACAAGAACAUCGUCCUGUUUGUGGACUCACCUGGUAGUUACCCGGAUGUGUUCACUUUUGAUAAUUUAUUAAGGAAUAUUCAGACUGUGACUUCAUCCUGGACGAAGGCCAGGUCUGACUCAUCUCGGGGUCCCCAGCCCCGGCCCAGGGCCUACAGAGAAGCUGGCACCAGGAAAGGAGGGCCAUGGUUAUAGACACAGGUUCGGAGUCAGCCCCAGCUUGAAUCCUGCUUCUGCCACCAGCCCUGUGACCUGAAGCAAGUGAGUCCCAAUCACCUCAUCUGUGCACUGAGAUGCAGAGUGGCUAUUUCUACUGCAUGUGGCUGUUGUGGGGACUGGGCGAGAGAGAUCCCCAAUAGGUGCUAUGAUUUUUCUCCCUGCUUUGCCCUCCAGGCAUACCCGGAAGCCCCCGAGUUUUGAUCUGGCCCAGGUAGACCGAUCAUUUCCUCCAAGUCCCCCUUCCCUGAGGAGCUGGCGU
rnacentral:lncRNA from 1 species